GACGAACGCUGGCGGCGUGCUGAACACAUGCAAGUCGAACGGAAAGGCCCUGCUUUUGUGGGGUGCUCGAGUGGCGAACGGGUGAGUAACACGUGAGUAACCUGCCCUUGACUUUGGGAUAACUUCAGGAAACUGGGGCUAAUACCGGAUAGGAGCUCCUGCUGCAUGGUGGGGGUUGGAAAGUUUCGGCGGUUGGGGAUGGACUCGCGGCUUCUCAGCCUGUUGGUGGGGUAGUGGCUUACCAAGGCUUUGACGGGUAGCCGGCCUGAGCGGGUGACCGGCCUCCUUGGGCUUCAGCUCCGGCCCAGACUCCUACUUGAGGCAGCAGUGCGGACUAUUGCCCAGUGUGCGGCAGCCUGACGCAGCAACGCCGCGUGCCGGAUGACUGCCUUCGGGUUGUAAACCGCCUUCGCCUCUGCCCAAGCGUUAGUGACCGUAAUGGGUAAAGAAGCCCCGGCUAACUACCUG
rnacentral:rRNA from 1 species